GGCCCUCGCUCUUUGUCCUGUCACUGGGCACCACUGAAAAGAAUCUGGCACCAUCCUCCUGGCACCCACUUUUGAGAUACUGAUGUGCAUUGAUGAGAUUCUCUCUCAGGCUGCUCUGCU